rnacentral:tRNA from 1 species
GUCCCUGUGGCACAAUGGAUAGCUCAUUGGACUUCUAUUCGAAAGAUCGUGGGUUCGAAUCCCACUUGGGAUG